rnacentral:rRNA from 1 species
CAGUCGCCGCGGUAAUACGAAGGGUGCAAGCGUUAAUCGGAAUUACUGGGCGUAAAGCGUGCGUAGGCGGUGAGUUAAGUCUGCUGUGAAAUCCCCGGGCUCAACCUGGGAAUGGCAGUGGAUACUGGCUCGCUAGAGUGUGUCAGAGGAUGGUGGAAUUCCCGGUGUAGCGGUGAAAUGCGUAGAGAUCGGGAGGAACAUCAGUGGCGAAGGCGGCCAUCUGGGACAACACUGACGCUGAGGCACGAAAGCGUGGGGAGCAAACAGGAUUAGAUACCCGGGUAGUCCCUGUCUCUUAUAA